AUUUUCAUAGUUUAAAGAGAGCGCUACUUUGAAGCAGUAGAGGUUUAGAAAAUA
rnacentral:tRNA from 1 species